UACAGAGGGUGCAAGCGUUAAUCGGAAUUACUGGGCGUAAAGGGUGCGUAGGUGGUUGAAUAAGUUAGGUGUGAAAGUCCUGGGCUUAACCUGGGGACUGCGCCUAAUACUGUUUAGCUAGAGUACUGUAGAGGAAGGUGGAAUUUCCAGUGUAGCGGUGAAAUGCGUAGAUAUUGGAAGGAACAUCUGUGGCGAAGGCGACCUUCUGGACAGAUACUGACACUGAGGCACGAAAGCGUGGGGAGCAAACAGGAUUAGAUACCCUGGUAGUCCACGCCGUAAACGAUGAGAACUGGCUGUUGGGAACCUAAGGGUUCUUAGUAGCGAAGCUAACGCGUUAAGUUCUCCGCCUGGGGAGUACGGCCGCAAGGCUAAA
rnacentral:rRNA from 1 species